GGGGAAGGAUGAGAAGCUUCGACCAAGGUUCGACUCGAGCGCCAGCGAGAGAGCGUUGCCGCAGGCAACGACCCGUAGGGCGAAGCGCGCAGCGCUGAGUAAUCCUUCCCCCACCACCA
rnacentral:sRNA from 1 species